rnacentral:rRNA from 1 species
GAUGAACGCUGGCGGCGUGCCUAAUACAUGCAAGUCGAGCGAACAGACGAGGAGCUUGCUCCUCUGACGUUAGCGGCGGACGGGUGAGUAACACGUGGAUAACCUACCUAUAAGACUGGGAUAACUUCGGGAAACCGGAGCUAAUACCGUAUAAUAUAUUGAACCGCAUGGUUCAAUAGUGAAAGACGGUUUUGCUAUCACUUAUAGAUGGAUCCGCGCCGCAUUAGCUAGUUGGUAAGGUAACGGCUUACCAAGGCAACGAUGCGUAGCCGACCUGAGAGGGUGAUCGGCCACACUGGAACUGAGACACGGUCCAGACUCCUACGGGAGGCAGCAGUAGGGAAUCUUCCGCAAUGGGCGAAAGCCUGACGGAGCAACGCCGCGUGAGUGAUGAAGGUCUUCGGAUCGUAAAACUCUGUUAUUAGGGAAGAACAAAUGUGUAAGUAACUAUGCACGUCUUGACGGUACCUAAUCAGAAAGCCACGGCUAACUACGUG